rnacentral:rRNA from 1 species
GAUGAACGCUGGCGGCGUGCCUAAUACAUGCAAGUCGAGCGAACAGACGCGGACCUUGCUCCUCUGACGUUAGCGGCGGACGGGUGAGUAACACGUGGAUAACCUACCUAUAAGACUGGGAUAACUUCGGGAAACCGGAGCUAAUACCGGAUAAUAUAUUGAACCGCAUGGUUCAAUAGUGAAAGACGGUUUUGCUGUCACUUAUAGAUGGAUCCGCGCCGCAUUAGCUAGUUGGUAAGGUAACGGCUUACCAAGGCAACGAUGCGUAGCCGACCUGAGAGGGUGAUCGGCCACACUGGAACUGAGACACGGUCCAGACUCCUACGGGAGGCAGCAGUAGGGAAGCUUCCGCAAUGGGCGAAAGCCUGACGGAGCAACGCCGCGUGAGGGAUGAAGGUGUUCGGAGCGUAAAACUCUGUUAUUAGGGAAGAACAAAUGUGUAAGUAACUAUGCACGUCUUGACGGUACCUAAUCAGAAAGCCACGGCUAACUACGUG